GGGAUAGUAGCAGUGAGGAUGAGCAGAGGUCACUCUCGUCACCUUCUUGGUUUUGGGGAUAAGACACACACACACACACACAGAGACAGAGAGAGAGAGAGAGAGUGCAAGGCAAGAGGAGUAAGAAGGUCAUUAUGCAAUCUUUCUCGGACUCAGCUCUCUAAUUCUUAAGAUCAGCAGUCUCAAAGUACCAUCUGUGUACUACUGGGAGCUCCUGAGACACUUUCAAGAGCCACAGCAAAAGAGAUGAAAUUCUGCCUGAACUAUUAUCCUCCAUUUACAGUUAAGUAAACUGAGGCCCUGGGAAAUGAGGCACUUUAGUUUUAAAAGCUGCUAAAGUCUACUGCUACAUCAUGCAGCUAGCCUGGGCUCUGCCUUGCUUGUGUCAGUCAGCUCUGAAGAACUCUCUGUCGUGUAAUUUAGACUGUAUGCCAUUAGGUGGGAUUAGUUCAGGGAAAUUCACAGGAAUAACAAAAGACAGAAAACAUGAGCAUGGGCCCCACCCCAGGACUGAAAAUGUGUGGAAACAUCAAGGGAAUAAAAGUGUGUUAAUUUCGAUUCUGGACUCCACAUUUUGCUAGGGACAUUACCAACCAUCCAGAAGACAGAGAUGGGAAAUAUAAAGGGGCUGAAAAAAGCCAUGUUACAUGAAGAACCAUGAAAGAAACUGGAAAUAAUUUCCUUAGAGGAGAGAAGAUUCCUAGGAAAUAAGACAAUGAACAAUGAAUGCUGGAGAACGUCCUUUCCUGCCUCUUAAUCAUUCUGAAUCUAAACUAAUGAUAAACUUCAAUCAGUGACAUUGAGGGGAUGGGUAAGGGAUAAUAUAAAGAGUCCUCUGUGCGUGCUAAUUUGUUUUUACAUGUGACCUAAGAUGGUGGCUUCUUGCUUUAAAGACCUUACUAAUCAUUACAGAGUAUUCGUAUUCUCUGCUCAAUAAUUUGGAAAUGACUUAGGUGCUGUAACUCUCUGUGUCUCUAAUUUCUGAUCUGUGUAUUCAUCCAUGCUGUCUUUAGUACAAGUAUUUAUUUAUGUAGACUUCCCUUGUUCUGUUCUUUAUGUUACGUGGAGGAAAUUCUGAGAAACUUCAUCAGUAGCACUAUGAAACUCCUUCCAUACGGAACAGUCUAGAACAGGCAUUGUCAAACUGGGCUAAAUCUGUUCUGCCAUCUGCUUUUCUAAAGAAAAUGUUGUUGGAACACAACCACGUUCAUUCAUUUCUGUAUUGUCUGUGGCAGAGAUUGACCAUCAUGAUAGAGACCAUAUGAGUUGAAAAGCCUAAAACAUUUAUUACCUGGCUCUGAACAGAAAAUACUUGCUGACUUCUGGUCUGGAACAGCACUGUGUAUAUACCUCAGGUUUAAUACUGAAAGUCUCCAUUAGUCGUUCUUCAGAGGUGACUAGAGUGCACAGUCAUAAUGGCAGGGCCCCAAGGACUUCUCUAACUCACACUUCCUGUCCCGUCACCUUCACUGCAGCAACCAUCUUACCGAGGGGUGCUGUCACUGCUCCUGUCCACUUUCUGGCUGUCGGAUGCCUCGAGAGUUCUUCCUGCCCUUGAUAAGGAAUAAACUUGCCAGUAGCAUGUGGCAGUUUUUCAACUGAUUUGGGAGAUGAUGCAGAUUUUGCUAUUUCUUAACUUUUAAUUGUUGUGUUUUCUGGUUCUCAGUAGGGAGACAUGAAGAAAAUUGCUAAUUCCCUUCAGUUAAAUAACAGUUUAGAUUAAACAAGCAAGAACUUUUGCUCUUUAAUAAAAUGCAAAGUUACC
rnacentral:lncRNA from 1 species